AUGGCUGAACAAACAAUGAGUGUAAUGGAAUGUAAGGAAUAAAACAAAACGGCAUGCUUUUAUAGGAAAAUAAUCAACUAUGGGUUGGUGAGACUUUCUGUUACCACCCUGAAGCUGAUUAUUUUCCUACAACUGCAUGUUCUGAAGUGUUCUGUUCCUUAUUUUCGACCAAGUUCAGCCAUUUUUAGACCUAGUAUUUAUCAAUUUGUCAUGUAUUUUAUUUCUUUUAUACCACAGAAUCCAGAAUUCAGUGAAAGAAGUGCACUCAGUAUGACUGUUAACUGCAACAGGAUACAGUCUCGGCCGGGGAAGAGGAUUUUGUGGCGCACCAUUUCACCCAUAAUGCAACCGACUGACCAAAUAUCCACUGCAGGCAUAGAAGCAGGAAGAAGACAGAAAAGAGGGAGAAAUGAAGAGUUAGCAUCAGCAUGUCAUCAGUGGGUUAGCAUUAGCAUUAGCAUGUCACCAGUAAAAAGAGAUAGAGUGAGAUUUCUGAAGCAGAACUGAUUUUAAAUCAGCUCAGUGAAAUAAUUAGUGAGCUUGGAAAAGUCAGGGGCUAACGACUAUUCCGCUAAUUAAAGCCAGUAGUGCAGUGAGACCUCCGGCGGUCUGGCUGUGACAGGAAAUCUAUACACCAACCGCCAUUACACACAUGCAGAGGCAAUCACACACACUAACACACACACUCAAGGCUUAAUAAAGAACUAGCACCAGU